GGUGAGCUACUUUGGGAGUCUUGAUACCAAGUUUGCUUUAGUAUGAAAAUACUUGGAUAUAGACAUGUCAGAAAAUGAUAUGUCAUUGGCAUAUGCAGAAUUGAAGGGUAUGUUUUGAAGUCCAAAAAUGAAACCUGAUCCUAUCCUUUCCUUACAUUCCAUCCGUAAUUUACACCAUCCCAUUGGUUUAGAUUGAAGACAUGUUGCUGAAUUGUUAAAAGAUUUUCUUCAAUUAGAUGAUUUAUUAUUUUCUGCAGAAGUACUUAUUGUCGGAUCUAAUGGAGUCUUAUUCUCUUUACAACAAGUUGCAGUUUUUAAUGAUUUUAUCUUCUUUCCAUUAUGUAAGAUCAAAGAAUAAGGAAAUAAAAUAAAAUCCAGAUUAUUUAAUCACAUAUAAUAAUAAUUUAUUUUGUAUUAAUAUCUGUUAUACAACUUUAUUUUUUAAACUUUCUUUAAUAGUAUAAGGACGGUGCGCUACAAAUUACAUUAAAUAAAAAAAAUAAUCAAAAAUAUCAGUAGAAGAGUAAAGGCACUUGAAGGGCAUUGUUUUUUUUUUUGGGAAGAAUAAAUAGAAAGGUAUAAAUAUAUACUAUUAUAGUUAAUAAGUCGAAUAUUUAGGUUCAAUGAAAAAAGAAUAACUUAUUUAGGAACUUCUACACGAUAAAGCUUCUAAUUUACAAAUACUAAUUAUUUUGUUGUUUUGAAAUUUUAAUACAAUUCAAAUAUUCUACGAUUAUGUACAAACUCACCAGGUUUUAAAGUUUUAUAUAUUUGGGUCUUAAUUUAAAUUUAAAAAAAUGGUUAAAUUAAUUAAAAAAAAGGGCCACAGCGUUAAUUAUCUCAGAAUAUGGUCCAUAGAUUUAAUAUUUUUCUAUCAUUUUGGUCGGAAGGAAAAGUUUACAAUAUUUUUUGUACUAAUUCCUUGGGCAAGAUUUUUGAAGAGGUUUAAUAUUUAUAUUUUUAUCAUAUUAUAUAUUUUUUCUUUUCUAAACAUCUUUUAAUAUAUCGUUUAAAAAGCUUUUUUGUCCUUUAAUAUGUAUACAAUAUAUUCGUUUAUGUACAAAAAAAAAUAUUUCUUUUAAACCUACAUCGUUUUUAUCACAACAGUUAAAGCAUUCUACACGUAGAUGUAUCUUUCUCGUUUUAAUUAAAAUCUUUUUCUUCUUCGUUAGCCUCUCUAGACUAGAUUAGUUAUGUGAACAUAGAUUUUCUUUUAGUUUAAUAAUAUAUAUAUAUAAUUUUGUAAAAUUGUAUAAUAAUUAGAAACCAACUUUAUACUUGUUUCUAGUUAUUUAAUUUUAACUUAAUUAAAUAAAUGGUGAGCACGAGAUUUUUUUUCAUACUUUCACGUAGUUAAUACUGCAUAACAAUAAAUUAAUAAUUAAUUAAAAUUGAUUUUUUUGAGUGUUAAAAUAUAAUCUGUUAAAUGGAAGAAGCAUAUUAAUUUAGUCGGUUUAAUAAAAAUGAAAUCGGAUGAUGUGUUUCGUCAGUAAAAAAUAAUGGAAUCGAGUAUAUUAAUGGUUAUUAAAAUAUCGUUUGAUUUUAAAAUGACGAUAACUUUAGGUUAACGCUUAAUUAGCAUCAUGUUAAGCGUUGAUUAAGGUUUUAAUGCGAUUUCGAGGACAUAUCUUUUUAUGAAGGAACAUUUAGAUUUUCUCAAAAUUAAAUCAACACAAUUUGGUUAUUUAAUGGUUAAGGCAAGAGCAUCAGUAAUUGACAUGUGAUUUAAAUUAGUGGUGAUUUUAACACGUUGAUAUAAUUUUAAAGUGAUGACGGAUAAAAAUGCAGGGAAACAUCAUUUAGAUUCAAAGCUGAUUUUGAUGUAUAUGUCGCAGGCAAAUGGUUGUUUCAGAUACUAUCUGCCUAGGCAAAUAGUUUUAUUCUAUUUAUUUCAGUCUAAAUUCUACAUUCCUAGGCAAAUAGCAUAUGGCUAAAAUGUUUUCAGGCAAAUAGCUCUUUAAACCAACCCAACACCAGGAAUGCUUUAUUUCGUUAAAAUGUCAAAAUGCCAGUGCCAGCCUUCAAAAUUUCAGUGCAGUACAAAAAGGUGUACUUGUUUCAAAAAUAAGAUGAUGUGCAAUAGUAGAUGCUUGAUUGACUAAUUUACUGCGCGUUGCAGUUACGACGUCAGGCUGCUUCCCGGCGCUUUGUGAUCCACCGUGAUCUUCAAAGUAUAGAUUGCAGGUUAUUGAUGUCUGAUGCGAGCGAAAUUGAUUGGCAACCACUUUACCGAUUGCCUGACAUAGAUGCUAAGAUGGAGUACUUUAAUUGCAAGGUUCUUGACCUCUAUGACAAGCAUGCUCCGCAAUCGUGCUAAGGUAUUGUUCAAACGUAGCCCUUCUGCUGCCAAUCGGGAACAUUAUCGUGUGCUGCGCAACCGUUGUAAUCAUCGAUGCAAAAACGUUAAAAGAUUGCACUACUGUCAAAGGUUGUCUGGAGCCACUCAUAAGACAUUUUGGACAACAAUGCGAUCUCUUGGUGUUAUAGAGUCACACAGAUCAACCCACUUUUGAAGCUGCUGCUCUUGCGGAGUAUUUUGCGGAUCCUCCUGUGGUGGUUGGUAACAUAACUAGGCAAAAUACUAUUAGUGAAAUCCUUGCAUCUACCAACGUGCUUUCCUUUUCAUUCACCUUGGUUACAGAUGCUGAAGUCCGGAAUGCUUUAACUUACUCCAAGUCCACUAGUGUCGGAGCAGAUGCUAUUGGAUUCGGCUUUCUCUUACCCAUUCUGGAUAUAAUUAUUACAUAUUUUCAACUGUUCUUUUAAAUAGUCUAUAUUUCCGUCAAUCUGGCGAAUCGCCCAUGUUAUUCCUAU